rnacentral:lncRNA from 1 species
UGGAGAUGUUCUGAUAUUGCAACUCUUCGUGCUAUUUUCUCCACUAAAUCCUGCGUCUGCUGUUUCGGCACCGGAAAGUUGUAAACUGUGUAAAAUAAGCCAAAACACUAUAAAUACAUCAUCAUAAUGUGAAAUAUAUCAAUGAAUAGAUACAAAUUAUGAUACAUAAUAGUGAUGCAUUUUGGAUGUAUCAACUCCCCCAAGCUUAGACCUUGCUUGUCCCCAAGCGAAUACUGAGCUCGGUCAACCUAUCCACAAGUUUAGAGAGUGAAGUGUCGAUAAAUAAGAAUACGGACAAGAAGCAUUAUAAUUUCUCUACUAGACUCAACCAUC